AUUGAACGCUCGCGGCAGGCCUAACACAUGCAAGUCGAACGAGUCGCCGACGGGUGCGUAAUGUCUGGGACACUGCCUGAUGGAGGUUGAUAACUACUGUAAACGGUAGCUAAUGCCUCCUACCAUCGGCUGUUCCCAGAUGGGACUAUCUAGUAGGUGGUGUAAAGGCUCACCUAGGCGACGAUCCCUAGCUGGUCUGCGAGGAUGACCAGCCACACUGGAGCUGAGUCACGGGCCAGACUCCUACGGGAGGCAGCAGUGGGGAAUAUUGCACAAUGGGCGCAAGCCUGAUGCAGCCAUGCCGCGUGUAUGAAGAAGGCCUUCGGGUUGUAAAGUACUUUCAGCGGGGAGGCGUUACCCGCAGAAGAAGCACCGGCUAACUCCGUGCCAGCAGCCGCGGUAAUAC
rnacentral:rRNA from 1 species